AGUAGGUUAGGUUAAUUAGAUUGUCUGUUUUCAAAAUAGGAGGUGCCUUUGUUGGUUACCUACUG
rnacentral:tRNA from 1 species